CUUUGCUGUAAAAGGACUCAUUGUCCAGCGUCUCCAUAACGUGCUCCAGAGGACCUCCUGCGCCCAUGUAAAAGUUUAAUACGUCCCGGCUGGAAAAGGAGCACCCGAAGUUGCUUUUAUAUCUUGAAACUCAGCUGGCCUCCUCGGGCAGCCUCCCAGUUCUAAUGAAUAUGAAAAUAGCCACUCACUACCAGAAAGAUUUAGAGGCGUCUUAAGAACUUGAAAGGAAAUAUUGCUCUAAAAGGCUUUUAUUUCAUCCGUAAAUCGUUUACGUGGAAGAUUCACAUUAAUUUGUUUAUAAAUAUAUGUCUUAAAAGCCCUAAAUUUCCGGAAAAACAUUACGUGUCUUUUAAAUGAAAGACAUGUGAUACAAUGUUUUGUGACAUGUAACCACAUGUGCCCAUAACAGAGGAAACAGCUAAUGGCAAACUCCCAUAACGAAUGUUUAAUCUGCAGUUUUUGGCAAGAAGCUGGGUAUUUGGUUGCCAACAGCUGCAUUACAUGAAUUUUGAGAGGUUGAGAUGGAGUUUAUGGUUAUGACACAGCUCUA
rnacentral:lncRNA from 1 species